AGGGGGUUGGGGCGCAGAAGCAGAAGCAAAGGAGCACGGUUGCAGAGGAGAUACCGAGAAAAGAGUUGAAGGCAAACUGUGAAAAGGAACCGAGGACGAGGUUGGGUCAAGCGAGAAGGACAAGGAAGUUUUUUUCCUACAAAAUGAAGGAAGGAAGGAAAGAAGGAAAGAAAGAAAGAAAAAGAAAGAAAGAAAGAAAGAAAGAAAGAAAGAAAGAAAGAAAGAAAGAAAGAAAGAAACUUAGGAUGCUGGGAAACAAAGCAAUCAGCUUGCCUCCCUGGUAAGCAGCCGUGGCUCUGGCAAGCUGCAGCCACCCCAGGGAGAGAACCAUCCAGUAUCUCCUGAGAUCCACACCAUGUUGGCACUUAAGGCACUGGGAAACCAAGCAACCUGCUCGCCUCCCUGGUAAGCAGCUGUGAGCCUACCGGUGCGCAGGCUGAGAAUCCAACAUCCCACCCCCCACUAGCAAAUGGGAGCCAGAAAUCUGAGCAUCUCUUGUGAGACUGACCACAUACAAUAUAGCAAAUAGGGGAAAUUUCCUUUUACCAUCUCUUUGAAGGCAAAUACUGUUUAUCACUGUUUUGCUUUGUUCUGAAUAUUUGCAUUGUUCUAUUUAAUAUUGUUUUGAUAAGUUCUAUAAUGUUCUGUAUUUCAUUUGAUUCUGCUAUAUCUGAUUGAAAGAACAACUAUUGUGAAGAUAAUGAGAUAUACUACAAUACCUAUUACUGUUAUCUGGGUAACCUGCUGUGAUGUUAUGUACCAAUUUCACUGCACUGUUUCAGUUGGCUUUGUUCUGUCUUGUUCUGUUGUAUUUCACUAUUAUUCAAAAUAAUAAAAAAAUUUUUAAAAGAAAAGAAAACCAGGUUCAGAUUGCUAAGGUGUCACUGUACAUGAAUAACAGCCUAGACUUGAUCCUGAAGGCUUGUAAGGGAGAUAACUGAGGGGUAUGAGUAGAUAAAUGAUAUAUUUUAACUCAGAAAUUAGAAAUAAUACACUGAUGAAGAGUAGGAAGAGAAUAGAAGCAAAGUGAUAUAAAUCUACUGGAAGAAAACCAGCUAAGCCAUGAAAGACUUCACGGAGGCAGGAGUGAUAUAUGUCAGGAAGGGGCAAAACUUGAUACCUGGUGGUAUAUAAGGGUAGAAUGACCAGGAAAAAGAGGCAGCUUCCUGGAUUGGGUGAUCACAUCAGUUGAAAAGAGAACAUAUUAAGACAUGAGAGAGGAUAAAUUCCAUUUUGUGUGUCACAAUUAAUACAUGUAGAUGUACAUGUCUGCAGUUCAAGAGAAACAUCGGAAUUAUGCACCAGAUAUAUGAAUAACUAGUGUACAAAUUAUGGUUGAAGGCACACUGAUACCAACUGGUUGAGGAUGAAUUUGGGCAUAUGUCACAAAUAGGCAAUGUGUAGCUCUUUAUGAUUAACAGCUCUGAGCUCAUAAUGUUGGGUGCUAUCAGCUCUUAAGUGUUAUGUCCUGUUUUAUCUCAAUCUCCCCCUUAUUCUUUUAAAAAAAUUAUUUAGUCAUUUCUUAUGUUUGUCUUAAUUAAAGAAAAAAUUUAAAAAAUUAGGAUAUAUAAAUAGUAACUCUUUUUGAUUUCCUAUUAACUUGUUUUGAAGUCCUGUAAUACUCCCACGAUCUUGUUUUGACUGAUUAGACUCUGUUCCAUUCUAUAUGAUAGUAUCAAGUUUGAAGACAUAGGCAACUACUUUGAAGGCAAUAAGAUUCACUAAGAUACCCAUUCUGGUUUGACUAUUGUCUUCUUUGGAAGUCCUGUAAUGUUUACAAUGCCUAAGUUUUAUUGGUCUUGUUCUCUACUGUUUUGUCCAACUUUAUAAUAUCUAAUGAGAUAGACAAUUCUUUUUAAGGAAACGAGACAACGUUGAUAACCAUUGUUGAUAACCUUGUACUCUGUUCUACACCAUGUGCUAUGUCUAUCCUUGGUUUUGACUGACAGCUUUGUUUUGCCAUAUUUGACUGUAUUCUCUCCCCCCCC